GAUGAACGCUGGCGGCGUGCCUAAUACAUGCAAGUCGAGCGAACGGACGAGAAGCUUGCUUCUCUGAUGUUAGCGGCGGACGGGUGAGUAACACGUGGAGAACCUACCUAUAAGACUGGGAUAACUUCGGGAAACCGUAGCUAAUACCGGAUAAUAUUUUGAACCGCAUGGUUCAAAAGUGAAAGACGGUCUUGCUGUCACUUAUAGAUGGAUCCGCGCUGCAUUAGCUAGUUGGUAAGGUAACGGCUUACCAAGGCAACGAUGCAUAGCCGACCUGAGAGGGUGAUCGGCCACCCUGGAACUGAGACACGGUCCAGACUCCUACGGGAGGCAGCAGUAGGGAAUCUUCCGCGAUGGGCGAAAGCCUGACGGAGCAACGCCGCGUGAGUGAUGAAGGUCUUCGGAUCGUAAAACUCUGUUAUUAGGGAAGAACAUAUGUGUAAGUAACUGUGCACAUCUUGACGGUACCUAAUCAGAAAGCCACGGCUAACUACGUG
rnacentral:rRNA from 1 species